rnacentral:rRNA from 1 species
GACGAACGCUGGCGGCGUGCCUAAUACAUGCAAGUAGAACGCACAGUUUAUACCGUAGCUUGCUACACCAUAGACUGUGAGUUGCGAACGGGUGAGUAACGCGUAGGUAACCUGCCUGGUAGCGGGGGAUAACUAUUGGAAACGAUAGCUAAUACCGCAUAAUAUUAAUUAUUGCAUGAUAAUUAAUUGAAAGGUGCAAUUGCACCACUACCAGAUGGACCUGCGUUGUAUUAGCUAGUAGGUGAGGUAACGGCUCACCUAGGCGACGAUACAUAGCCGACCUGAGAGGGUGAUCGGCCACACUGGGACUGAGACACGGCCCAGACUCCUACGGGAGGCAGCAGGAGGGAAUCUUCGGCAAUGGACGAAAGUCUGACCGAGCAACGCCGCGUGAGUGAAGAAGGGUUUCGGAUCGUAAAGCUCUGUUGUAAGAGAAGAACGGGUGUGAGAGUGGAAAGUUCACACUGUGACGGUAUCUGACCAGAAAGGGACGGCUAACUACGUG